AUUGAACGCUGGCGGCAGGCCUAACACAUGCAAGUCGAACGGUAACAGGAAGCAGCUUGCUGCUUCGCUGACGAGUGGCGGACGGGUGAGUAAUGUCUGGGAAGCUGCCUGAUGGAGGGGGAUAACUACUGGAAACGGUAGCUAAUACCGCAUAAUGUCGCAAGACCAAAGAGGGGGACCUUCGGGCCUCUUGCCAUCGGAUGUGCCCAGAUGGGAUUAGCUUGUUGGUGGGGUAACGGCUCACCAAGGCGACGAUCCCUAGCUGGUCUGAGAGGAUGACCAGCCACACUGGAACUAGGACACGGUCCAGACUCUUCCGGCAGGCAGCAGUGGGGAAUAUUGCACAAUGGGCGCAAGCCUGAUGCAGCCAGGCCGCGUGUAUGAAGAAGGCCUUCGGGUUGUAAAGUACUUUCAGCGGGGAGGAAGGGAGUAAAGUUAAUACCUUUGCUCAUUGACGUUACCCGCAGAAGAAGCACCGGCUAACUCCGUG
rnacentral:rRNA from 1 species